rnacentral:lncRNA from 1 species
AUGUACAUACCCCCCCUGCCCGCUGGCACCCUGCCGCCUCCCCCGCCCCCUGCCCUCCCCGUGACUUCCCUUCUUACUCCCUGCCCCAAACUGGUGACGCUUGAGCGAAAGAAAAGUGCAAUAGCAGCGGGGACCCCCUCGGACGGGGGUCUCUCUGCGGCUGCCUGCAGGCAGGGGGGGCUGCCUGCCACGGCGCUGCCUGCUCCCUGCCUGUCCGGGCAGCCCCUGGCGGGCUCCAUCCUCCCUCUGCAGGCAGCGCCCGCAUCCCUGCGCCCAGGGGGGACGUUUCCAAAGAUGUGUCACCUGGGCAAGCAGCCGGGGACAGCAGGGUCUGGCAGUGAGGGUCCUGGUAGCGCUUUCCCCGGAGCCUCGUGCUCCCAUGGGAUGGGUGGGCUCCGUGGUGUUUGUGGCCGGCUGGGUGCGGGGCUUUGUCUCGGCGGCACGAGAUUGGGGAGAGGAAGGAGCAGGGAGCGUGGCACGGGGCCGGCAGAGCAUCGUCCCGAGGUGGUGGAACCGGCUGCGAGGGGGGGUGCAGGAGGUGUGAGCACCCCGGGAAGUCGGUGGGAGAGGGGGGGGGGGGAUGCUGUAGGGACGGGUCGGGUUGGAGGGUUGAAAGCCGUGGGAAUGCCGUGGAGGGUGGCACUGCCUGGGUGCUGGAGGUGUCUUUGGCAAAUGCGGCCAGAUGCAGAGCAGGGGGGGGUCAGGCUGGUGGAAAGGGCCUUUCGGGGUCCCCAUCGCGUCCCCAUCCCAAAGGUGCUGUUCAUCCAGGAAGGGUUUUCAGUCUCCGGCCGCAGCCGCGGGAGGUGUGUGGUGGGGACGGGGGGCGCAGCAUCAAGUGACAAUCAUGGAUCCUGCUCUCGGGCACGUUGCACUCGCCUCGUCCCUCUGGGCUGGGACCCCCCUCGAGAUGCAUCCAAGCCCACGACCGUUUCCCUUGGGGCUGGGGGGUCCUUUCAUGGCGGACUUUCUCUUGCUUUUUCUCUUUCCCCGGGCUUUUCUUUGCUCCGUACUAAAACCGUCCUAACACCUCGCUCCGGCCUGGGGGGAGCCAUCCCCGGACCGGGAUGUGUCUGUCUCCAGACAAAAACCAGGCUACCUCGGUCCUUGGGAAACGGGCACGUUUUCUCUCGGUAA